rnacentral:rRNA from 1 species
UACGAAGGGAGCUAGCGUUGUUCGGAAUCACUGGGCGUAAAGCGCACGUAGGCGGAUUUGUAAGUCAGGGGUGAAAUCCCGGGGCUCAACCUCGGAACUGCCUUUGAUACUGCAAAUCUCGAGUCCGGGAGAGGUGAGUGGAAUUCCUAGUGUAGAGGUGAAAUUCGUAGAUAUCUGGAGGAACACCGGUGGCGAAGGCGGCGAUCUGGCCCAACACUGACACUGAGACCCGAAAGCGUGGGGAUCAAACAGG